UUGGUUGUUGGCUGAGAGAGUGCGAUGUUGGCAUGGCUCAAUCAACUCGCCGGCCGCGGGUGGCUUAUAGCUUAAUUCUGCGCAUUCGAUCGAGGUGCGGGCGCAGUGUUUAAUUGAUUGAGCCGUGCCAAUAUCACAACCUUCUCUAGCCUAUA
rnacentral:pre_miRNA from 1 species